CCCUUAGAUGUCCGGGGCCGCACGCGCGCUACACUGAAGGAAUCAGCGUGGCUUUCUCCCUGACCCGAAAGGGUUGGGAAACCCGUUGAAUCUCCCUCGUGAUAGGGAUUGGGGCUUGAAAUUGUUCCCCAUGAACGAGGAAUUCCCAGUAAGCGCGAGUCAUAAGCUCGCGUUGAUUACGUCCCUGCCCUUUGUACACACCGCCCGUCGCUACUACCGAUUGAACGGUUUAGUGAGGGCCUCGGAUUGGUCUCGGCCCGCUCUUUACCGGGCGGCGCCGUUGGUCGAGAAGACGCUCGAACUUGAUCGUUUAGAGGAAGUAAAAGUCGUAACA
rnacentral:rRNA from 1 species